rnacentral:misc_RNA from 1 species
GAUGAAGAACGCAGCGAAAUGCGAUAAGUAAUGUGAAUUGCAGAAUUCAGUGAAUCAUCGAAUCUUUGAACGCAACUUGCGCCCUCUGGUAUUCCGGAGGGCAUGCCUGUUUGAGUGUCAUGUAGACUCAAUCCCUCGGGUUUCUGAGGAGGUUGGAUUGGGUGCUUGCCUUCUGGCUCGCCUUAAAGGACUUAGCAGGAUAGCACUGUAGUCGACGUAAUAAGUCUCGUCGGUGAAAGUGUGAUGUCUGCUUACAGAUUGCCCUUGGGCACUUUUGACUCUGACCUCAAAUCAGGUAGGACUACCCGCUGAACUUAAGCAUAUCAAUAAGCGGAGGA